AUAGCUAUGUUACAUAAGUUUGCC
rnacentral:siRNA from 1 species